rnacentral:sRNA from 1 species
AUGUCCGCGCCAUGGGACACCCCCUGCUUUCCACGGGCGCUGCGGCUACGCUUGCGGCGUGCGCCCUCUCCGGGAGGGCGUAAAGCCGACAGCCGUCGCAACCACGGGAGCACCUCCAUG